rnacentral:rRNA from 1 species
CGGCGGACGGGUGAGUAACACGUGGAUAACCUACCUAUAAGACUGGGAUAACUUCGGGAAACCGGAGCUAAUACCGGAUAAUAUAUUGAACCGCAUGGUUCAAUAGUGAAAGACGGUUUUGCUGUCACUUAUAGAUGGAUCCGCGCCGCAUUAGCUAGUUGGUAAGGUACGCUUACCAAGGCAACGAUGCGUAGCCGACCUUAGAGGGUGAUCGGCCACACUGGAACUGAGACACGGUCCAGACUCCUACGGGAGGCAGCAGGG